ACGCCUCUUCCAGCCGCAGCCCUAGCCCUCCACUCCUCCCACCCCCCGCCGCCACCCAGUGCUCUGCUCGCAUCCUCUCCGUCGCCAACACCGCCGCUCGUCUGACCCCUUCGGUCGAUCUCGAAUGCUUGCUCCCAUCGUCUGAUCGCACGCCGUAGCUUGAUUCUCUCUCUCUCUGUCUCGUGAUCUCGCUUGGGGAUCGGAGCAGGUCCUGCAGAAGCUCGAGAAGCUCAAGCACAAGAAGAAGCGCCUCGUGCAGUCCCCCGACUACUUCCUCAUGGAUGUCAAGUCCCAGGGCUGCUUCAACAUGUAACUGCUGCAAAAUGAAACGACCGUGUUCAGCCACUCUCAGACCAUGGUGGUGUGCCCAGGUUGGGAGACGGUGCUCUGCCGGCCUACAGGAGGAAAGGCGAGGCUCACUGAGGGAUGCUCCUUCUGCCGCAAGGGCAACAAAGGGUGUGUUUGGUUCUCGUAGCAACUUUUAUCUGUGUUGCACGCUUGACCUAGUUGAGCCUGGGUGAGGGAAAACAGGCAAAAAACCAACACCCGCGUGUUGUUUGUUUGCCUGCAUAGUGCAUACCCUCUAGCCUACAUGGGGCGUAACGAAAGAUGGCCUGUUUGGUUGCCCCGCUUGUUUAGACGGAAACACAAGGCAUGGGGCGUGUUUUGUAGCCCACAUAGAGGCCAACCAGGCGCGCUCUAGGAGAAAAUGUGCUGUUUGAUUCCCUGAGUUCACUAUAUAUUGGGCCUGCACCGCAUGGAAUUUAAAGCAGCUCCCAGCCAGGCCCGCUAGGAACGUCUAAAUCAGCAGGUUUUUCCAGAGCCAGGCCCGCGGGAUGCACGUUGGCGGCGGCGGCUGCACGUGAGAAGCCACGCUUGAGAAGUCGUGUUGUUUUUUGAAGCGUCGGUAAUAAUUACCUUCACCUUCCCUCACCGCUCUCUCCACUCUUCCACUCUCACACCGGCAGCGGCGGAGAUCAGCGGAUCGGAGAUCAGCAAGGCGACCACAGGCCGGACUUCACCGGUGUUAGCAACAUUACUGACAUCACUUCGGCAAUGGCAGUAAGUCGUAUUUUCACCUCCUAACCUACUAUUUCGCAUUUGAUCCGCGUUUAGAUUUGAUUUGUGUUGUAGGGGAAUGGGGAAUCGGGGUAGAUAGCCAUAGGAUUGACUAUAAUUUAACGGUGAGUACUAAGUAGCCAUGGAUUUUAGGGUUCUGAUCCGGAUUGAGUACAAGGGGAAUGGAGUUUCGGGAUUAAUCUUAUACAGUAGUUUCAAAUCUUAGCCUCAGCAACCCUUUGGAGCGGCGGGAGCCCUUGACCUUGUUCUUGUCCUCCGGCUGGACCAUUGUUUCGUCGUCCUCGCCGAAGUCUAGAUUGAUUGGCAAAGUACGGUGGCCUGACUUCGGCACCCUGACAACCAUCCCCACCGCUUCUUUUUCCUCCUUCGGAGCCAGAGGAGGAAGAAGAAGUGAUGGAGAUGGUGGUCAGGGCGCCGGGCGCCGGAUCCAGGCCACCUUACUUUGCCAAUCGAUCUGGACUCUGGUGAUGACGACGAGACAGUGGUCAAGCAGGAGGACAAGAACAAGGCCAAUGGUCCCCGCUGCUCCAACCGCCUCCAGGGUCGCCGGGGCUAAGAUUUAAGCUACUGUGUAAGAUUAACCCCCAAUCCCCAUUCCCCUUGUACUCAAUCCGGAUCGAAACCCUAAAAUCCAUGACUACUUAGUAUACAUUGUCAAGUUAUGAUCAAUCUUAUCGUUAUUCACCCCGAUUCCCCAUUCCCCUAGGACGCGGAUCGAAUCUAAACGCGGAUCGAAUGCGAAAUAGCAGGUUAGGAGGUGAAAAUACGGCUUACCACCAUUGCCGAAGUGCUGCGGGUGAUGUUGCUGACGCCGGUGAAGUCCGGACGGUGGUUGCCUUGCUGAUCUCCGAUCUGCUGAUCGCCGCCGCCACCGGUGUGAGAGUGGAGAGAGAGCGGUGAGGAAAGAUGAGGAUAAUUAUUGCCUGCGUUUCGGGAAACAAGGCGACUUCUCAAGCAUGGCUCCUCGUGUGCAGCCGCCGCUGCCGCGGGCCUGGCUCUGAAAAACCUGCCGAUUUGGACGUUCCUAGCUGUCCUGGUUGGGAGCUACUUUAUGUUCCGUGCGAUGCAGGCUCAACAGUGAACGUAGGAAAACAAACAGUCCAUUUUCUUCCCGCGCAGGCCUGGUUGGACUCUAUGCGGGCUACCAAACACAUCGAUGUGUGCUCGUCUUCUGAACCCGGAGGAAAUGGAGUCAUCCUGAUCAUUACUUUCUUAUCGCCGAUGUGUGCUCGUCUGUUUUUGUUAAUUGUUAUGCUUGCUCGUUUGCCAACAUGAAAGUUGUAGCAACUCGUGUUGUUGGUCCUGCACUCUUUGUCGCCUGUUGUUGGUCCUUCUGUUUUUCUAUCUAUGCAAGUUCAAUUUUUAGAAUUUAGUUA